rnacentral:rRNA from 1 species
UACAGAGGUGGCAAGCGUUGUUCGGAAUUACUGGGCGUAAAGGGCGCGUAGGCGGCCAUCUAAGUCAGACGUGAAAUCCCCCGGCUUAACCUGGGAACUGCGUCUGAUACUGGAAGGCUUGAGUAUGGGAGAGGGAUGUAGAAUUCCAGGUGUAGCGGUGAAAUGCGUAGAUAUCAGGAGGAACACCGGUGGUGUAGACGGCUCUCUGGACCGUAACUGACGCUGAGACACGAAAGCGUGGGUAGCAAACAGG